rnacentral:misc_RNA from 1 species
UUUCCGUAGGUGAACCUGCGGAAGGAUCAUUAUUGUAAAACCGAGGUGCGAGGGCUGUCGCUGACCCGAAAGGUCGUGCACGCCCGAGUGCCCUCACACACAUCCACCUCACCCCUAUGUGCACCACCGCGUGGGUCCCCCCUUGGCUUGUUCGGAGGGGGGCUUACGUUUUCACACAAACUUUGUAUGCAGUGUAGAAUGUAUUUUUUGUUUUUGCGAUCACGCAAUCAAUACAACUUUCAACAACGGAUCUCUUGGCUCUC